CUCUGAAGUCUAUUUAUGUGAAGAGUACUCCAAGAUAAUAUUUUGUACAGGUUGCAGAUUUUGGUUUGACAAAGCUUACCGAAGUUGGAAGUGCCUCAUUGCUCACAUGCCUCGUGAGUACAUUUAAUAACUUGUCUUGUAUGUCUGGAUCUUCUGCAGUUCGAGGAUGUUCUGAGACAGCCUGAUCCAAGAGAAAAUUUCCCUAAACUAGUUGAUCCUAGGCUUGGAGAUGACUACCCUCUUGACUCCGUUUGCAAGAUGGCUCAGCUUGCUAGAGCUUGUACACACAGGAAAUUCCUCAAACUAAGACCAAGCAUGAGAUCAGUUGUGGUAGCACUUAUGAUACUUUCAUCCAACCCUGACGAUUGAGGGUGUUGGUUCAUUCCAUGAUAAUGCCUGUGCAUUGCAAUGAUUGUUACCACUAUAAAUCCUGAUUAUAUUUU